GGCGCUGUAGCUCAGCGGUUAGAGCGGAGGCUUCAUAAGCCUUAGGUCCCCGGUUCGAUCCCGGGCAGCGCUACCA
rnacentral:tRNA from 1 species